GACGAACGCUGGCGGCGUGCUUAACACAUGCAAGUCGAACGGUAAGGCCCUUCGGGGUACACGAGUGGCGAACGGGUGAGUAACACGUGGGUGAUCUACCCUGCACUUCGGGAUAAGCUUGGGAAACUGGGUCUAAUACCGGAUAGGACCACUGCCUGCAUGGGUGGGGGUGGAAAGCUUUUGCGGGGUGGGAUGGGCCCGCGGCCUAUCAGCUUGUUGGUGGGGUGGUGGCCUACCAAGGCGACGACGGGUAGCCGGCCUGUGAGGGUGACCGGCCACAUUGGGACUGGGAUACGGCCCAGACUCCUACGGGAGGCAGAAGUGGGGAAUAUUGCACAAUGGGCGCAAGCCUGAUGCAGCGACGCCGCGUGAGGGAUGACGGCCUUCGGGUUGUAAACCUCUUUCAGCACCGACGAAGCGCAAGUGACGGUAGGUGCAGAAGAAGGACCGGCCAACUACGUGCCAGCAGCCGCCGUAA
rnacentral:rRNA from 1 species